GUGCCAGCAGCCGCGGUAAUACGGAAGGUCCAAGCGUUAAUCGGAAUUACUGGGCGUAAAGCGCGCGUAGGUGGUUUUUUAAGUUGGAUGUGAAAGCCCUGGGCUCAACCUAGGAACUGCAUCCAAAACUAGAUGACUAGAGUACGAAAGAGGGAAGUAGAAUUCACAGUGUAGCGGUGGAAUGCGUAGAUAUUGUGAAGAAUACCAAUGGCGAAGGCAGCUUCCUGGUUCUGUACUGACACUGAGGUGCGAAAGCGUGGGUAGCGAACAGGAUUAGAUACCCUGGUAGUCCACGCCGUAAACGAUGACAACUAGCUGUUGGGAGACAAGAUCUCUCAGUGGCGCAGCUAACGCUUUAAGUUGUCCGCCUGGGGAGUACGGCCGCAAGGUUAAAACUCAAAUGAAUUGACGGGGACCCGCACAAGCGGUGGAGCAUGUGGUUUAAUUCGAUGCAACGCGAAAAACCUUACCUACUCUUGACAUACUUGGAAGCUCUUGUAAUGAGAGUGUGCCUUUUGGAGCCAAGAUACAGGUGCUGCAUGGCUGUCGUCAGCUCGUGUCGUGAGAUGUUCCGUUAAGUCGGAUAACGAGCGCAACCCUUACCCUUAUUUGCCAGCGAUUCGGUCGGGAACUAUAAGGGGACUGCCGGUGAUAAACCGGAGGAAGGUGAGGACGACGUCAAGUCAUCAUGGCCCUUACGAGUAGGGCUACACACGUGCUACAAUGGGGAAUACAGACGGACGCU
rnacentral:rRNA from 1 species